GUACUUGAUUAAGAGGAGAUUUUUUUGUAUGUUACGUAACAUGCGCUCAGAACUAAUGGUAAUGCGUAUAAUAUAUCGCUUGAGGUUAUGACUAAAUUCAAAAUUAUAUUAUUCAAAUAUUUUUCGUUACGUUUCUCGUCGGUAAACAAACUUAAAAAGUAUGUUUAGUGCUUUAUCUGUAAAAUAAUGCCAAAAUGAAGAGAUUUUAGAUGAUACGCCAAAGAGAAAAUGAUGUCUGAAAUUCAGUAAGUUUUGCUUAUAUGGCUAUAAAUAUGGCGUCAAUUUUAAAGCAUCAUUGAUAUUUGUACCUUAAUUGACAAUUUUUAACUAUUAUUUUAUGUUUCUCAACCGGCAGAUGCAUUUAAAAAGGUAGCCACCUCUCUAAACUAGAGAAUAAAGCUAAAACAAAGUAAUUUUGAGAGGAACGCCAAAAAUAUUUUAGGUUUUGAACACUUUUCAUUGCAAAUACGUGACAUUGAAAAAGAUUGCCUGAGGCUCUUAAAGAUUAAAGAUUUUUAGGUAGUGAUAUGAAGAUACGGAUUGAUACAACUACAUGAAAGACACAAGGAGAACAUCGUGAUUUCUCGAAACUCGCUCGAAACGUUCUCCUGGUAUUUUUCACGUAGUUGUAUCCCUUUCAAUCUGAAGCUUCGAACUUGCGCUUCCAAAAAUAAUUUCACGCGAAUGAACACCAUGUCCGCCAAGUACACAUGUCUCCCAAAUUGUGGCAAUUG
rnacentral:lncRNA from 1 species